GACGAACGCUGGCGGCGUGCCUAAUACAUGCAAGUAGAACGCUGAAGAGAGGAGCUUGCUCUUCUUGGAUGAGUUGCGAACGGGUGAGUAACGCGUAGGUAACCUGCCUGGUAGCGGGGGAUAACUAUUGGAAACGAUAGCUAAUACCGCAUAAAAUGGAUUAUCGCAUGAUAAUCCAUUGAAAGGUGCAAAUGCAUCACUACCAGAUGGACCUGCGUUGUAUUAGCUAGUUGGUGGGGUAACGGCUCACCAAGGCGACGAUACAUAGCCGACCUGAUAGGGUGUUCGGCCAAUAUGGGACUUGGCGACGGCCCAGACUCCUACGGGAGGCAGCAGUAGGGAAUCUUUGGCAAUGGACGGAAGUCUGACCGGGAAACGCCGCGUGAGUGAAGAAGGGUGUCGGAUCGUAAAGCUCGGUUGUAAGAGAAGAACGAGUGUGAGAGUGGAAAGUUCACACUGUGACGGUAUCUUACCAGAAAGGGACGGCUAACUACGUG
rnacentral:rRNA from 1 species